rnacentral:rRNA from 1 species
AUUAACGCUGGCAGAGUGCAUAACACAUGCAAGUCGAGCGGAACACCCGUUGUAGCAAUACAGUGGGUGUUUAGCGGCAGACGAGUGAGUAACACGUAAGGAAUAUGCCCCGGAGAGGGGGACAACCAGCCGAAAGGUUGGCUAAUACCCCAUAUAAUCCUUGAAUGGCAUCGUUCAGGGAUGAAAGGAGUAAUCCACUCUGGGAGUAUCUUGCGACCUAUCAGCUAGUUGGGGGGGUAACGGCCCACCAAGGCGACGACGGGUAGCCGGCCUGAAAGGGCGAUCGGCCACGGGGGCACUGAGACACGGGCCCCACUUCUACGGAAGGCAGCAGUGGGGAAUUUUGGACAAUGGGGGAAACCCUGAUCCAGCAACUCUGCGUGAGGGACGAAGGUCUUCGGAUUGUAAACCUCUUUUCUUAGGGACGAAUGCCCGCAAGGGUUUGACGGUACCUGAGGAAUAAGCCACGGCUAACUACGU